rnacentral:rRNA from 1 species
AUUGAACGCUGGCGGCAUGCCUUACACAUGCAAGUCGAACGGCAGCACGGGUGCUUGCACCUGGUGGCGAGUGGCGAACGGGUGAGUAAUAUAUCGGAACGUACCUUAUUGUGGGGGAUAACGCAGCGAAAGCUGUGCUAAUACCGCAUAAUCCCUAAGGGGGAAAGCGGGGGACCGUAAGGCCUCGCGCAAUUAGAGCGGCCGAUAACUGAUUAGCUAGUUGGUGAGGUAAAGGCUCACCAAGGCAACGAUCAGUAGCUGGUCUGAGAGGACGAUCAGCCACACUGGGACCGAGACACGGCCCAGACUCCUACGGGAGGCAGCAGUGGGGAAUUUUGGACAAUGGGGGCAACCCUGAUCCAGCAAUGCCGCGUGAGUGAAGAAGGCCUUCGGGUUGUAAAGCUCUUUUGUCAGGGAAGAAACAGCAGCUCUAACACAGUAUGCGAAUGACGGUACCUGAAGAAUAAGCACCGGCUAACUACGUGCCAGCAGCCGCCGUAA